rnacentral:lncRNA from 1 species
GCGGAUGCGAUCGUCGGCGCCGGCGGUGUCGUUGCGUCGUUGCACAAAGCGCGCGCCAUUACCGCGAGUCUACCGGACCGCACUCGCAUGGCGUGAUUGCGACUUUUUUACGUCAGAAUUCUGUCCACUGCCGGGCACAGAAGGGGGAUAGGAAAAAAUUUAAAUUGGCACUAUGCGCGGAGAAUCAGAAAAAAUCUAGAAAAAUGCCGUUGCCCAAAAACGGUAGCGCUAAUUAGCCUUUUUCACAGCAACAGCGGCAGCGGCAUCGAGGGACCGGCACCGACGAGGUCGCCUUCGAUGUCAAGUAGGAAUGUCUUUCGGCAAGGCAGAUUCCAGGCACGUGAUUGCGCAACCAGAUCAGCGGCUCUGUGCGGCUCUGCCGGCCGGCCACGCGAUCCAGUGCAGGUUGCACGAGAUCUGUCCCGUAGCGCGCACAAAGCAUGACGAUCUUUUCGGUGGCCGAAUCAAGAGCGCUGACUAUGGUCUCUACGUCGCAUAUGCCGCCGCGGUCGGCCACCGCCCGCACAGACGCAAGGCCGCCGUGACGUACAGCAAGAGUGAGCGCAUCAUACUCAUUAAAGAGCGCUGCACCAGCGUCGUGAAUAACCACGGCCGCGUUGAUGUGGUUGGCUACGAGGGCGCACCGCGCCACUCCGACCGUGAUCCCGUUACGUGCCACGGGAUGUUGAAGCAUCCACCGGAUGACUUUGCUGCACCCAGACAAGGCGGCAGCGUAGGCGAUGGCCUGACCAUCCCACGAAGGAAUCGGGUCUCUUUUAUCCUGUCUUUGGCUGGCGCCGUUGCUACCGUCGCCGACGGCCCACGACAGGAACUCAACCAUGCCGGCCUUACUCGCCGCGACGAGCACCUCGACCGCGCACGAGGUGAUCCAAAAGCGCAUCCGAUCGAGCGCAUGAUGACGAUCCACACAAGCGGCCUUGACCAUCGAUGCAUUGGAAACACGGGAAAACGCGGCCGGAUUGACCUUGCCGAUCCAGUCAAUGACGCGGGCCUGGUCUCUAUCGAGAGCCUCCUCGAUUGUGCGCCUGCUGGGUGUCGGCACAGCGGUGCAGCCCAUGGUCGACAGGGUGCAGAGAAUGUCGACGUGCCCGUGGCGUACGGCAGCCAGCCCGAGCGAGCGGGCACAACCGCAGCGCCUGCCGCGUGCUCUGCGGGUCUUUUCCUCGUGGAGGCGCUCGAUGAUGCGCAUUCUGCCCCUACAGGCAGCCCUCAUUGCCAUGCGGUCCAUGCUCACCGCAGCGCGUCCGAACCGAUCGAAUGGGCAGUUGGCGAGCAGCCACAUCAAGAGAUCGGCAUUGUCGGAGUCGAGAGCGCACUGUACCGCCUUUUUCAUUGACUUGUACUCGCCGCCCCAGAUGCCACGCCGCGGCUCUGCGUGGCCAAACAAAAAGCGCACAACGUCGAGCCGGCCACCCCUGGCGGCCUCGUGCACAUUGUCCCACGUCGGCGGUAUGUCCCACGUUGUCUGUGCAACCCAGACGUGGUGUAGGUGGGCGACCACGUCGAGAGGCGCACCGCAAGCGACGACACCCCAAAACCGUCCGCUCCGCAACCACUUUUCAAUCAAUUGGGGUGUCGGUCCCGAUGACAAGAGAGGCGACGCUUGGGCGCACGCGACCACAUGGCGAGGGCAGCGCAGAAACGAUACGAUGUGAACAAGAAUCUCGACGGGCAGGUCGGGUAUGGCAGGCAGACUGUCGUCUUUGGUGCCGUUCAUGUCGGCAGUGCCCCUAGGCAGAUGCAAAAAGUAUUGACGAGUCCCC